rnacentral:rRNA from 1 species
ACGGGAGGCAGCAGUGGGGAAUUUUGGACAAUGGGGGCAACCCUGAUCCAGCCAUGCCGCGUGCAGGAAGAAGGUCUUCGGAUUGUAAACUGCUUUUGUUAGGGACAAAACGUGCGUAGUGAACAAUUAUGCAUAAUGAUGGUACCUAAAGAAUAAGCACCGGCUAACUACGUGCCAGCAGCCGCGGUAAUACGUAGGGUGCGAGCGUUAAUCGGAAUUACUGGGCGUAAAGGGUACGCAGGUGGUUUUAUAAGACAGAUGUGAAAUCCCUGGGCUUAACCUAGGAAUAGCAUUUGUGACUGUAAAGCUAGAGUGUGACAGAGGGGGGUGGAAUUCCAAGUGUAGCAGUGAAAUGCGUAGAUAUUUGGAAGAACACCGAUGGCGAAGGCAGCCCCCUGGGUCAUAACUGACGCUCAUGUACGAAAGCGUGGGGAGCAAACAGGAUUAGAUACCCUGGUA